rnacentral:rRNA from 1 species
GACGAACGCUGGCGGCGUGCCUAAUACAUGCAAGUCGAGCGAAUCUGAUGGGAGCUUGCUCCCUGAUGAUUAGCGGCGGACGGGUGAGUAACACGUGGGUAACCUGCCUGUAAGACUGGGAUAACUCCGGGAAACCGGGGCUAAUACCGGAUAACUUUUUUCUUCGCAUGAGGGAGAAUUGAAAGAUGGCUUCGGCUAUCACUUACAGAUGGACCCGCGGCGCAUUAGCUAGUUGGUGAGGUAACGGCUCACCAAGGCGACGAUGCGUAGCCGACUUGAGAGGGUGAUCGGCCACACUGGGACUGAGACACGGCCCAGACUCCUACGGGAGGCAGCAGUAGGGAAUCUUCCGCAAUGGACGAAAGUCUGACGGAGCAACGCCGC